ACACAUGCAAGUCGAGGGGUAACAGGUAGCUUGCUAUGCUGACGACCGGCGCACGGGUGAGUAACGCGUAUACAAUCUGCCUUGUACUGAGGGAUAGCCCAGAGAAAUUUGGAUUAAUACCUCAUAGUAUAUAGUCUCCACCUGGAGAUUAUAUUAAAGGUUACGGUACAAGAUGAGUAUGCGUUCUAUUAGCUAGAUGGUAAGGUAACGGCUUACCAUGGCAACGAUAGAUAGGGGCCCUGAGAGGGGGAUCCCCCACACUGGUACUGAGACACGGACCAGACUCCUACGGGAGGCAGCAGUGAGGAAUAUUGGACAAUGGGCGAGAGCCUGAUCCAGCCAUGCCGCGUGCAGGAUGACUGCCCUAUGGGUUGUAAACUGCUUUUAUACAGGAAGAAACACUCCCUCGUGAGGGAGCUUGACGGUACUGUAAGAAUAAGGAUCGGCUAACUCCGUGCCAGCAGCCGCGGUAAUACGGAGGAUCCAAGCGUUAUCCGGAAUCAUUGGGUUUAAAGGGUCCGUAGGUGGAUAAUUAAGUCAGAGGUGAAAUCCUGCAGCUCAACUGUAGAAUUGCCUUUGAUACUGGUUAUCUUGAGUUAUUAUGAAGUAGUUAGAAUAUGUGGUGUAGCGGUGAAAUGCAUAGAUAUCACAUAGAAUACCAAUUGCGAAGGCAGAUUACUAAUAAUUAACUGACACUGAUGGACGAAAGCGUGGGGAGCGAACAGGAUUAGAUACCCUGGUAGUCCACGCCGUAAACGAUGGUUACUAGUUGUUCGAACUUCGGUUUGAGUGACUAAGCGAAAGUGAUAAGUAACCCACCUGGGGAGUACGUUCGCAAGAAUGAAACUCAAAGGAAUUGACGGGGGCCCGCACAAGCGGUGGAGCAUGUGGUUUAAUUCGAUGAUACGCGAGGAACCUUACCAGGGCUUAAAUGUAGAUUGACAGGUUUAGAGAUAGACUUUUCUUCGGACAAUUUACAAGGUGCUGCAUGGUUGUCGUCAGCUCGUGCCGUGAGGUGUCAGGUUAAGUCCUAUAACGAGCGCAACCCCUGUUGUUAGUGGCCAGCGAGUCAUGUCGG
rnacentral:rRNA from 1 species